CACGCAGGCUGAAUUAUAAGUCGGUAGUAAAAGGCGGGGGCUCAACUUCCGUAUAUCUAUCGAUACUGUAAAUCUAGAGUAUGUGAGAGGGAAGCGGAAUUCCCGGUGUAGCGGUGAAAUGCGUAGAUAUCGGGAAGAACACCAGUGGCGAAGGCGGCUUCCUGGCACAAUACUGACGCUCAUGUGCGAAAGCUAGGGCAGCGAACGG
rnacentral:rRNA from 1 species